rnacentral:rRNA from 1 species
GGGUAUAGUUUUUCGGAAUUAGAGACCGGCGCACGGGUGCGUAACGCGUAUGCAAUCUACCUUUCACAGAGGGAUAGCCCAGAGAAAUUUGGAUUAAUACCUCAUAGUAUUAUAGAGUGGCAUCACUUUAUAAUUAAAGUCACAACGGUGAAAGAUGAGCAUGCGUCCCAUUAGCUAGUUGGUAAGGUAACGGCUUACCAAGGCAACGAUGGGUAGGGGUCCUGAGAGGGAGAUCCCCCACACUGGUACUGAGACACGGACCAGACUCCUACGGGAGGCAGCAGUGAGGAAUAUUGGACAAUGGGCGCAAGCCUGAUCCAGCCAUGCCGCGUGCAGGAUGACGGUCCUAUGGAUUGUAAACUGCUUUUGCACAGGAAGAAACAACAUUACGUGUAAUGUCUUGACGGUACUGUGAGAAUAAGGAUCGGCUAACUCCGUGCCAGCAGCCGCGGUAAUACGGAGGAUCCAAGCGUUAUCCGGAAUCAUUGGGUUUAAAGGGUCCGUAGGCGGUUUAGUAAGUCAGUGGUGAAAGCCCAUCGCUCAACGGUGGAACGGCCAUUGAUACUGCUAAACUUGAAUUAUUAGGAAGUAACUAGAAUAUGUAGUGUAGCGGUGAAAUGCUUAGAGAUUACAUGGAAUACCAAUUGCGAAGGCAGGUUACUACUAAUGGAUUGACGCUGAUGGACGAAAGCGUGGGUAGCGAACAGGAUUAGAUACCCUGGUAGUCCACGCCGUAAACGAUGGAUACUAGCUGUUGGAAGCAAUUUCAGUGGCUAAGCGAAAGUGAUAAGUAUCCCACCUGGGGAGUACGUUCGCAAGAAUGAAACUCAAAGGAAUUGACGGGGGCCCGCACAAGCGGUGGAGCAUGUGGUUUAAUUCGAUGAUACGCGAGGAACCUUACCAAGGCUUAAAUGUAGAUUGACCGGUUUGGAAACAGACUUUUCGCAAGACAAUUUACAAGGUGCUGCAUGGUUGUCGUCAGCUCGUGCCGUGAGGUGUCAGGUUAAGUCCUAUAACGAGCGCAACCCCUGUUGUUAGUUGCCAGCGAGUCAUGUCGGGAACUCUAACGAGACUGCCAGUGCAAACUGAAAAGGAAGGUGGGGGAUGACGUCAAAUCAUCACGGGCCCUUACGCCUUGGG